UACGUAGGGUCCGAGCGUUGUCCGGAAUUAUUGGGCGUAAAGGGCGCGUAGGCGGUCUGUUGCGUCCGCUGUGAAAACUCGGGGCUUAACCCCGAGCCUGCAGUGGAUACGGGCAGACUAGAGGUAGGUAGGGGAGAAUGGAAUUCCCGGUGUAGCGGUGAAAUGCGCAGAUAUCGGGAGGAACACCGGUGGCGAAGGCGGUUCUCUGGGCCUUACC
rnacentral:rRNA from 1 species